rnacentral:lncRNA from 1 species
GAGCGCGCUGGUCUGAGGGGCGGAGCUCGCCUGGGACCUGGGCCACGGAAGGAGCGCGGGGGACGCGCGGGGUCCGCGGGGCGGGAGGCGGGAGGCCGCGAGGCGGGCGGGCGGCCCUGCUGUGACGUCCGGGCGCCCCUCCCGCUGCAGGGGCCGCAGGGGACCCCACCCGCUUCCUCAGUGUUUGGGCGCCGGGCGCGUCUUAGGGUGGCGCGGCGGGAAUGGUUGGCCCUGGGAAACCCGCGAUGGCGUCCUGAGUAAGGAGAUGGGUAGAAUAGAGGCAGGAAGCCACUCGCGUCGGAUGCCGUUCAGCCGUGAUUCGAGGGUGACUGUGCACACGGGUGCCAGGAUGGGCUCACUCCCGGCGCGGGAGCUGCAUCUGUGCGAAGUCCUACCCGGGUGGGAUCUGGAGGCCCUUAGACCACCGCAGCGAGCCCUCGCUAGGAUUAAGGCUCACGGGCCAGAGCAGAGGGUACUCAGCUAGGUUUGUGAGAUCACUAACUUUACACACACACACACACACACACACACACACUGAAAAAAAUAUCAGGCUCACGGGCCAGAGCAGAGGGUACUCAGCUAGGUUUGUGAGAUCACUAACUUUACACACACACACACACACACACACACACACACUGAAAAAAAUAUCAGGCUCACGGGCCAGAGCAGAGGGUACUCAGCUAGGUUUGUAAGAUCACUAACUUUACACACACACACACACACAACACACACACACACUGAAAAAAAAUGUCAGGCUCACGGGCCAGAGCAGAGGGUACUCAGCUAGGUUUGUAAGAUCACUAACUUUACACACACACACACAACACACACACACACACACACACACACACUGAAAAAAAAUGUCAGGCUCACGGGCCAGAGCAGAGGGUACUCAGGUUUGUAAGAUCACUAACUUUACACACACACACACACACACACACACCACACACACACCACACAACACACACACACACACACACACACUGAAAAAAAUGUCAGGCUCACGGGCCAGAGCAGAGGGUACUCAGCUAGGUUUGUAAGAUCACUAACUUUACACACACACACACACCCCAUAUUUGCUUGGCAAAUAUGGAAAACAGGAAUUUUGAUUAUAAUGUGAUACAAAUUUCUUUGUUUAUUUUUAUUCUCUUGGUAACUCACAGAA